CGGGAUGUGGCUCAGCUUGGUAGAGCGCCUGGUUCGGGACCAGGAGGUCGCUGGUUCAAAUCCAGUCAUCCCGACCA
rnacentral:tRNA from 2 species